UACGUAGGGUGCGAGCGUUGUCCGGAAUUAUUGGGCGUAAAGGGCUCGUAGGCGGUUUGUCGCGUCGGGAGUGAAAUCCACUGGCUUAACUGGUGGCUUGCUUUCGAUACGGGCAGACUGGAGGUAUGCAGGGGAGAACGGAAUUCCUGGUGUAGCGGUGAAAUGCGCAGAUAUCAGGAAGAACACCCGUGGCGAAGGCGGCUCUCUGGGACGGUACUGACGCUGAGACGCGAAAGCGUGGGGAGCGAACAGG
rnacentral:rRNA from 1 species